rnacentral:rRNA from 1 species
GACGAACGCUGGCGGCGUGCUUAACACAUGCAAGUCGAGCGAUGAAGCUCCUUCGGGAGUGGAUUAGCGGCGGACGGGUGAGUAACACGUGGGUAACCUGCCUCAUAGAGGGGAAUAGCCUUUCGAAAGGAAGAUUAAUACCGCAUAAGAUUGUAGUACCGCAUGGUACAGCAAUUAAAGGAGUAAUCCGCUAUGAGAUGGACCCGCGUCGCAUUAGCUAGUUGGUGAGGUAACGGCUCACCAAGGCGACGAUGCGUAGCCGACCUGAGAGGGUGAUCGGCCACAUUGGGACUGAGACACGGCCCAGACUCCUACGGGAGGCAGCAGUGGGGAAUAUUGCACAAUGGGGGAAACCCUGAUGCAGCAACGCCGCGUGAGUGAUGACGGUCUUCGGAUUGUAAAGCUCUGUCUUCAGGGACGAUAAUGACGGUACCUGAGGAGGAAGCCACGGCUAACUACGUGCCAGCCGCCGCAGUAA